AACUGAAUUAAGGGGCAACUCUUAACUGGCCAGUUAAGGAAAAACCGAGAGGUUCAAGCUUAACGGGCAGAAAGGUGGAAACAGUAGCGCUUUACAUUUCCAUCGACGGGCUUGGCGGUAGCGCCUACAACGACGAGCCAA
ncrna:unclassified sequences IMES-2 RNA motif